UCACACUAGGCGGGGAACUAGCGGUGCCCUGUAACCUGCAAUCCGCUACAGCAGGGCUGAAUUCCCCAAAGAGGUGCCAGAAUUUGGAGUCUGCCGCGGAUAAGCGGUGUUGACGGUUGGACCCUUCGCAAUAUGAACUUAUGAACCCUGUCAGGUCCGGAAGGAAGCAGCAGUAAGUAAGAUCUCGUAUGUGCCGGAGGACUCUCUGACAAGAGCUGGCUGUCCGCGUAACGUUUGGAGACUGGUUAUCAAUGCGGGGUGUGUGA
rfam:Eubacterium limosum KIST612, complete genome.